GUAGUUGGGCAAGCGUUGUCCGGAAUUAUUGGGCGUAAAGCGCGCGCAGGGCGGUCCUUUAAGUCUGAUGUGAAAGCCCACGGCUCAACCGUGGAGGUUCAUUGGAAACUGGGGGACUUGAGUACAGAAGAGGAAAGCGGAAUUCCAAGUGUAGCGGUGAAAUGCGUAGAGAUUUGGAGGAACACCAGUGGCGAAGGCGGCUUUCUGGUCUGUAACUGACGCUGAGGCGCGAAAGCGUGGGGAGCAAACAGGAUUAGAUACCCUGGUAGUCCACGCCGUAAACGAUGAGUGCUAAGUGUUAGGGGGUUUCCGCCCCUUAGUGCUGCAGCUAACGCAUUAAGCACUCCGCCUGGGGAGUACGGCCGCAAGGCUG
rnacentral:rRNA from 1 species